CGGACGGGUGAGUAACGCGUGGAAAACCUGCCGUAUACUGGGGGAUAACACUUAGAAAUAGGUGCUAAUACCGCAUAAGCGCACAGCUUCGCAUGAAGUGGUGUGAAAAACUCUGGUGGUAUACGAUGGUUCCGCGUCUGAUUAGCUUGUUGGUGGGGUAAUGGCUCACCAAGGCGACGAUCAGUAGCCGGCCUGAGAGGGUGUACGGCCACAUUGGGACUGAGACACGGCCCAAACUCCUACGGGAGGCAGCAG
rnacentral:rRNA from 1 species